CUCACUGGAUUAUUUUUACUUGUGCAAAUUCUAGAGACUACUGUGCAUGAAAAUCCUGAGAGAUCAGCAUUUUCUGAGAUACUCAAACCAUCCUGUCUGCCACCGACAAUCAUUCCAUGUCCAAAGCUCCUGACCUGUAUCUACAUGAUUGUAUGCAUUGCAUUGCUGAUGUGUGUUGAGCAUCCUGGUGCAAAAUGGCUGGGGUUGUAUCACCAAGGUGGGUGCUACACAUUGGUUGUGAUUAAGAUUCACAGCUCUGUUGUGGCAAGCCAAGUGAUUGUGUCAUCGUCCAGGUUGAUCAGGCUGUGUUCCCCAUGUGGUGGUCGAUGCUUGGGACAGCUGGCCAUGAUGUGUUCUACCGUGUGAUUGAGUCUCCAUAGUCACAGGAGGUGCUGUCCAUCAGACCCCAUUUAGCAGAUAGCAAAGACUUGAUAUCUGUGGUGUUACUCAGUAGACAGUACUAAAUA